rnacentral:tRNA from 1 species
GGGGCCGUAGUGAAACGGGAUCACACGACAAUGGCAUUGUUGGGUUAGGGGUUCAACUCCCCUCGGCUCCA